GAUGAACGCUGGCGGCGUGCCUAACACAUGCAAGUCGAGCGAAGCGCUGUUUUCAGAAUCUUCGGAGGAAGAGGACAGUGACUGAGCGGCGGACGGGUGAGUAACGCGUGGGCAACCUGCCUCAUACAGGGGGAUAACAGUUAGAAAUGACUGCUAAUACCGCAUAAGCGCACAGGACCGCAUGGUGUAGUGUGAAAAACUCCGGUGGUAUGAGAUGGACCCGCGUCUGAUUAGGUAGUUGGUGGGGUAAAGGCCUACCAAGCCGACGAUCAGUAGCCGACCUGAGAGGGUGACCGGCCACAUUGGGACUGAGACACGGCCCAA
rnacentral:rRNA from 1 species